UUUUUUUUUUUGAAAAUAAUUUUAAAAUUAAAUAUUGACGAAAAUCAUAAAUAUUACAGCCUUUUAAAACAUGUAAAACCGAAGUUUGCUCGAAUCAUUUUUUUUGUUAGCAAUGGUUUAUCGUUGCUUACAGGUGUAAAUUUAUGUAUGACACAUCUUCUUGAACUACUUUGACAUUUUUGUCAUUGUCUGGUUGAUCAUUAUUAGGAAUUAGUAAUGUUCUACAGGGAAUGUCUUUAAAACCAUUUCCUCACUUUCC